UGAAAAGGCUGCAACUGGAAAGCUACUGAAGAUCAAGUGCUACUUCUGUAAGAAGUAUGGGCACAUGAAGAAGCAGUGUGAGGGUUUCAAGAAAUGGAUGACCAAAAAGGGGUUUAACAAGGAGGAGAGCUCCAAGGAAGCAUGAAGACUCAAUCUGUGUUGGCAAUGGCAUGAAGGUAGCAGUCAAAGCCAUUGGCACCUUAAAGUUGGACUUAGGUUUAGGAAAGUUUCUGGUUGUAGAUAGUGUUUAUUUCAUUCCUUCUUUGAAAAGAAACUUGCUUUCGGUUUCUUUGCUAGUUAGGCUUGGUUGCAGACUUGUUAUCGACUUUAGUGGAAUAAAAGUUUUUCAAGGACAUGAUUAUCUUGGAUGUGGUACUUUUAUGCAUGACUAUUUAAAAUUAAAUUGUUCUAUUGCAAAACAAGAAAUUAUGCUAAUUGAAAAUAGGGAAAAUUCCUUAAGUACUGACACUGUUAUUGGUGUC
rnacentral:lncRNA from 1 species